rnacentral:misc_RNA from 1 species
UCUCCGUUGGUGAACCAGCGGAGGGAUCAUUACUGAGUGAGGGGUUAACCGCCCGACCUCCAACCCUCUGUGAAUCGUACUCGUUGCUUCGGGGGCGACCCUGCCGUUCGCGGCGUGGGGCCCCCGGAGCCCAUCAAACCCGGCGUAACUAAGUCGUCGGAGUUUAAACAAAUUAAACAAAACUUUCAACAACGGAUCUCUUGGUUCGGGCAUCGAUGAAGAACGCAGC